ACCUAUCUCCAGUUUGUGCGUGGAUCAGACGCCAUCAAAUCCGUCCGUUUUCCAUCAGUCCAUCCAAUGGUGUUAGAUUCACGCACAAACUCGUGAUCUGUCU
rnacentral:pre_miRNA from 1 species